UGAAUAGGCAGAGGUUUGAGAUUUUGAGAACCUACUUCAACUGCGAAAAACUCGAUUUCUUCAACUUGAUAGCCGUUGUGAAAGUCUCGAAUUCUUCGGGGCUGGUUUGAAUUGGUUUAUUGGUCGCUUCUUCGGGUUCAAUUUUUCUAGGCUAAUUGAUUUCUUUCUGGGUCGGAUUUGGCUUCUUGCCAAAUUUGGGGUUCUUCUCUGUUUAGCUAAAUAUGGCUUUGUUUUGCUGUGGUAGCGACUGAAAUUUGAUACUGGUGUGACAAGCAGUUAACAAGUAAGAGCUUUUUCUUCUUCUUAAGUAAGUUUGAAGAAUAUUUACACACACUUAUCCAAAUUUGUAUUUUGAUUUUUAACUCCAAGUGGUUCAUAGCUUAAGAACAGAAUUAUGAAGAAGUAAUACGAAAAGAAGUACAAAAAUAUGAUAUUUAAUUGCAACGAUCAGCCAGUAAUUCAAUCAAAGGAUCAUCGCGGACCUUAUGCAGCCCUGCCACCAUUGUUCCGGUAUUGUUCAGAUGUAGGGAGCGUGGAUAUUGUGUUCCAAGAUUGGUCAUUUUGGGGUUGGGUUGAGACCAUAGAUACAAGGAAACGGGUACGUGGCAGCGUAUCCCGAACCAGUUCGUUCGACCCGGAACACGGGUCGUUUCCAACCAGAUCGCCACAAUUCGCGUCCGGUUCGUGAAUUCCGGCGAUCCACACAAACUCCGGCGACCAAGUCUUUUAAGAAUAACAGAGAGAGUGGGUACGCUGUCACAAGAGCACACAUAGUUCAGAUCUAAACAUCAUAUGAUACUGGCUUUUUGUUUGACGUGAUUGUAUGCGGAGACGAAGAAGAAAAGGAGUGAAGAAGAAAAGUGGCAUGUGUAUGUCUGUAUGUAUAUGUAACAUAAUCGGCCACCGAUACAAAGGGAUUACUAAAGCAUUUGGGCCUUUCAAUCUCCAAGCCCAAUACAUUUUAAAUUGAAUUAACGGUUGCUAUUGCAAAUAUAUGAAGUUUAAUGAACUGCCCAUUUUCGGGCCCAAUAACUUCAUAAAUCACAUAAUAAUUUCAGAACAGUUUUA